CAGCUCUGGUUUCUCUUCAGAUCGUAUGAUUUCUGUGGAGAGGAACAGUAUUGAGUUUUAACUCAAUUUUUUGAGGUCUCGUGUCUCACGAGACU
rnacentral:snRNA from 1 species